rnacentral:rRNA from 1 species
GAUGAACGCUGGCGGCGUGCCUAAUACAUGCAAGUCGAGCGAACGGACGAGAAGCUUGCCUCUCUGAUGUUAGCGGCGGACGGGUGAGUAACACGUGGAUAACCUACCUAUAAGACUGGGAUAACUUCGGGAAACCGGAGCUAAUACCGGAUGAUAUUUUGUACCGCAUGGUUCAAAAGUGAAAGACGGUCUUGCUGUCACUUAUAGAUGGAUCCGCGCUGCAUUAGCUAGUUGGUAAGGUAACGGCUUACCAAGGCAACGAUGCAUAGCCGACCUGAGAGGAUGAUCGGCCACACUGGAACUGAGACACGGUCCAGACUCCUACGGGAGGCAGCAGUAGGGAAUCUUCCGCAAUGGGCGAAAGCCUGACGGAGCAACGCCGCGUGAGUGAUGAAGGUCUUCGGAUCGUAAAACUCUGUUAUUAGGGAAGAACAUAUGUGUAAGUAACUGUGGACAUCCUGACGGUACCUAAUCAGAAAGCCACGGCUAACUACGUG